AUGCCGCACGAAUGCACAUGCGUCAAAUCAUCAAACGCGCAGCACGCGAGGAAAGAAAAAUGCAGAGUUAUUC